UACGUAGGGUGCGAGCGUUGUCCGGAAUUAUUGGGCGUAAAGAGCUCGUAGGCGGUGUGUCGCGUCGGCCGUGAAAACCUGGGGCUCAACUCUGGGCGUGCGGUCGAUACGGGCAUCACUUGAGUUCGGCAGGGGAGACUGGAAUUCCUGGUGUAGCGGUGAAAUGCGCAGAUAUCAGGAGGAACACCGGUGGCGAAGGCGGGUCUCUGGGCCAAUACUGACGCUGAGGAGCGAAAGCGUGGGGAGCGAACAGG
rnacentral:rRNA from 1 species